rnacentral:rRNA from 1 species
GAUGAACGCUGGCGGCGUGCCUAAUACAUGCAAGUCGAGCGAACAGACGAGGAGUUUGCUCCUUUGACGUUAGCGGCGGACGGGUGAGUAACACGUAGGUAACCUACCUAUAAGACUGGGAUAACUUCGGGAAACCGGCGCUAAUACCGGAUAAUAUUUCGAACCGCAUGGUUCGAUAGUGAAAGAUGGCUUUGCUAUCACUUAUAGAUGGACCUGCGCCGUAUUAGCUAGUUGGUAAGGUAACGGCUUACCAAGGCAACGAUACGUAGCCGACCUGAGAGGGUGAUCGCCCACACUGGAACGGAGACAGGGACCAGAGUCCUGCGGGAGGCAGCAGUAGGGAAUGUGCCGCAAUGGGCGAAAGCAUGACGGAGCAACGCCGAGUGAGAGAUGACGGUCUUCGGAUCGUAAAACUCUGUUAUUAGGGAAGAACAAACGUGUAAGUAACUGUGCACGUCUUGACGGUACCUGAUCAGAAAGCCACGGCUAACUACGUG